AGUGAACGCUGGCGGUAGGCCUAACACAUGCAAGUCGAACGGCAGCACAGUAAGAGCUUGCUCUUACGGGUGGCGAGUGGCGGACGGGUGAGGAAUACAUCGGAAUCUACUUUUUCGUGGGGGAUAACGUAGGGAAACUUACGCUAAUACCGCAUACGACCUACGGGUGAAAGCAGGGGAUCUUCGGACCUUGCGCGAUUGAAUGAGCCGAUGUCGGAUUAGCUAGUUGGCGGGGUAAAGGCCCACCAAGGCGACGAUCCGUAGCUGGUCUGAGAGGAUGAUCGGCCACACUGGAACUGCGACACGGUCCAUACCCCUACGGGAGGCAGCGUUGGGGAAUUUUGGGCCAUGGGCGCAAUCCUGAUCCAGCCAUACCGCGUGGGUUAAGAAGGCCUUCGGGUUGUAGAGCCCUUUUGUUGGGAAAGAAAAUCAGCCGGUUAAUACCCCGCUGUUCUGACGGUACCCACAGAAUAAGCACCGGCUAACUUCGUG
rnacentral:rRNA from 1 species